rnacentral:lncRNA from 1 species
GGCGUUGGCCCCCGCGCCCCGUGCAAGUGCGCCGUUCUCGGGUGCCCUAGGUCGCGGGGCAGCUGGGGCGGAAGGGCUUGUUCAUUAUUUUGAGAGUUUGUUGUGAACGUCAUAACCCUUCGUCCUUAAAUAUUGCCGAUACUUGACCUACGCAAGAGACAAUGUCAUGUGAUUCAGCCUAAUAUCUCAGAGGAUGCAGCAUUCAAGGUUCUAUCUUGGAAGCAGAGACUGGGCCCUCACCAGAUGCUGAACCUGCUGAGCACCUUGAUCUUCCACUUCACCUUCAUCAGAACUGUUUUUGUAUCAGGAUGAUGCUGGCCUCAUAAAAUGAGUUAGGGACACACGAAAUCCUUCAUAUAAUCUGGCAAACACAUGUGGCAGGUUUUUCUCACCACAUAAAAUAUGUUAUAGAGUAGUCCAUCUAUUUCUCUCCCAUGGAAGAGUUUAUCUGGUAGAUUGGACUACCACUUUUCCUUGUGGAGACCUAUUCUGUUGGGUUAGAGAUGACAGAAAAUCUUAUUUGUCGGUUGGUUUGUUUGUUCAAGAAUACACUGACCUUCUACAAGAAAGGAGAGCUCUUUGACACCUGGAAAUUUUGCAAAAGCUUGGGACAGCUCUGAACGGCAACACGGUCCUGAGAUGUGUGAUUACCUGGGACUUUCAUUGGACCUGCAUUUCAGCUCUACUCUCCUCACUGCCCUAUUCUGCUUUGGCCCUAAAAGUGAAGCCAGCUCGGCCAGGUGCAGCGGCUCACACCUAUAAUCCCAGCACUUUGGGAGGUCGAGGGGGGCAGAUCAAGAAGUCAGGAAAUCGAGACCACCCUGGCCAACAUUGUGAAACACUGUCUCUACUAAAAUACAAAAAAAUUAGCCAGGUGUGGUGGUGUGCACCUGUAGUCCCAGCUACUCGGGAGGCUGAGGCAGGCGAAUCACUUGAACUCAGGAGGAGGAAAUUGCAGUGAGCCAAGAUUGCGCCACUGUACUCCAGCCUGGGCGAUAGAGCGAGACUCCAUCUCAAAAACAAAACAAAACAAAACAAAACAAACAAAACAAAAAGUGAAGCCAACUCAAUUGUCUCAUAGAACUGAUGUUUAUGGUGUUUUUAAAUAAACAUAGAAAUUGGCCCUCCCAGUCUUAAAACUUCAAAAACUUACAUUGGUCUUAUCUAAGUUCCUUUCUCAGGAAUCCAGUCAUCAAGGCUCCCAGAUAGUAUCAAUGAACGGAAACUUACCAGAUCACGACAUCUGGACAAUGAGAUGUCAGAUCCCCCUCAUCCAUCCUGAUUACCUAACUGACUACCUGCUUCCUGUUGGCCAACUACUCUCCUUUACCCCUCCCUAAUUCUUGUUUUCCCACAAAUGGUUACAUUUCUAUCCUGCUAUAGAAGCCCUUAAUUUUAAUUGGUCAAGGAGAUGGAUUUGAGACUGAUUUUUUGCUCUCCUUGGCUGUUGCACCUGAAUAGCCUUUUUCCCUGGCAAUACUUUUUGUCUCAGUGAUUGGUUUUCUGUGCAGUGAGCAAUGGGACCAAACUUCUGGUGUUUUGGUAACAAAUUUUGGUUUCCUGACCGUGAAUGCAUUGCUUGUGACUCAGCUGCCAUGGGCUGGGAGAGUUUCAAAAGCCCCCUAAGUAGCUACCUGACCAUUUUGGCCAGAGGUGGAUUUUAGUCUCUCCCCAUUUGGGCCCACUUCUGCCAACCCCAACCAUGUUCCUGAUUGCCUAGGAAGAACAGCCUUUGAAAUUUGACAUCUAUGUCCAGAAAGGUGAGUGUCUUUUAUGGGUAACAGACAGUGGGAAUGGUUCCUCUCGAUUUGGGAAAUCCCAAAGGCAUAUCAGUUUGCAGGUUAAACAAGUCAAACUGAUGGAGAGAGGAUAAUACUUUGACUGAUUCAGUUUGAACACUCUUGGGGCUUGUUCAUUGCUACAGAAGUUGGAUUGUGUUUUGGUGAUUGUUUGUUUGUGUAUGUCUAUGUAGUUAUGGGAAGUCAGGGUUUGAUCCCAGAGCGCAGCCCACAUGGGUGCAUUCUUUGGGUUAGUCUGUAUGUAGUUGUGGGUUGACAGAGCAGGGGAAAUUCUACAGCCAUACCACUCUGAGUGUGGCUGAUCUUGUCUGAUCGCGAUGUCUUUGCAUUGUAGUGCUGUCUUAGAAUUGAAUUCAUCUUGCUGUUGAAUGGGAGAGCAGGAUAGAGGUCCAUGUAUGUAUGCUUUUAUGCUGCUGUUCUAAACAGGGUUGGGCCUGAUUAGUACUGUGAUGCUCUUCUGUGGUGCUGUUUGGCCCCAGUGUUCUUUGGAAUCUGGGGAAGUUUGGCCUUUAAAAGUUAAACUGCCAUGGGAACCGAUUUACUCAGUUUUAGUUCAUAGCCUUCAUUGUAUUAUCUAUCAGGGCAAAAAAGUUAGCCGUGUGAACAUGUUCGUAAACCAGUGAGUUUGUAUUGCUAUCUCAUGCCUAGAAUUCUAAAGUAAAAACUAUUGGGUCUUUGUUUGUAUAUAUGUAUAUGGGUCUAGAUGUUAUGUGUUGUUUUUACAGGGUACCAGAUUGGCUCAUAAAUAAAAGAGCACUCAUAAAUUAAGUGAA